rnacentral:rRNA from 1 species
AGAAUUUUAAUGGUCGAACAGACCAACCCUUAAAGACUUCUGCACCUUUAGGAUAUUCUGGUCCAACAUCGAGGUCACAAACCUUUUUUUCGAUUAGAGCUCUCAAAAAAGAUAAUGCUGUUAUCCCUACGGUAACUAUUUCCAUUAAUCAUAAUAUAUGGAUCAAGACAAGCAGGUAUAAAAUCUAUAAAGAAGCUUUGUUUGUUCCUUAGUCGCCCCAACUAAAAUUCUUAGUAAUAUUUUUAUAUGUAAUACAAUUUAAUUUUACUAAUUUUUUUAAAGCUCGAUAGGGUCUUCUUGUCUUUUAAUUAAAUACAGACUUUUUCAUCUGAAAAUAAAAUUCUAUAAAAAUAAGAAGAGACAGCUUUGCUCUUGUGAGACCAUUCAUACCAGUCCUCAAUUAUAGGACAAAUUAUUAUGCUACCUUAGCACAGUUAAGAUACUGCGGCCGUUGAAGUAAUCACUGGGCAGGCCGGACUCUUUAUAUAUAGUUUACAAAGAGCC